rnacentral:lncRNA from 1 species
CAGUGGCCGCAGCGCUAGCGCAUUUUAUGUUUCUGGCAAGACAAGAGCGGAGUCGUUACCCCGUAGAUUCGUCUCAGUGCGGCACCCGUUCACCGUUCCUUCCAGGAUAGCACCUGGUGAAGGUCAGAGGAGUCGCGGACCUGUCCAAAGUUGAUCUGAAGAAAACAGGACUCUCAAUGACAAAUAUCCGAAAGUAUUACUGAGAGUAAGCUUCAUUUUGUGGAACAAUGAAGGAAGGUGUUCUAGUUUUAAAAGACCUGGAUCUGCUAUCUGUUGAGAAUUCUGUUUCUGAUCUGCCCACCCACCAAUCUUCCUUAUUACCAGUGGUCCAAAUAUAUGAGAAGUUUGGCCGGGACUAAGGGUACAUCUGCUGCCAACGUCAGAAUGUCCAAGCCACGUGGCUCGA